rnacentral:rRNA from 1 species
CAGGCUUAACACAUGCAAGUCGAGGGGCAGCACAGGUAGCAAUACCGGGUGGCGACCGGCGCACGGGUGAGUAACGCGUAUGCAACUUACCUAUCAGAGGGGGAUAACCCGGCGAAAGUCGGACUAAUACCGCAUGAAGCAGGGGCCCCGCAUGGGGAUAUUUGCUAAAGAUUCAUCGCUGAUAGAUAGGCAUGCGUUCCAUUAGGCAGUUGGCGGGGUAACGGCCCACCAAACCGACGAUGGAUAGGGGUUCUGAGAGGAAGGUCCCCCACAUUGGUACUGAGACACGGACCAAACUCCUACGGGAGGCAGCAGUGAGGAAUAUUGGUCAAUGGCCGAGAGGCUGAACCAGCCAAGUCGCGUGAGGGAUGAAGGUUCUAUGGAUCGUAAACCUCUUUUAUAAGGGAAUAAAGUGCGGGACGUGUCCCGUUUUGUAUGUACCUUAUGAAUAAGGAUCGGCUAACUCCGUGCCAGCAGCCGCGGUAAUACGGAGGAUCCGAGCGUUAUCCGGAUUUAUUGGGUUUAAAGGGUGCGUAGGCGGCCUUUUAAGUCAGCGGUGAAAGUCUGUGGCUCAACCAUAGAAUUGCCGUUGAAACUGGGGGGCUUGAGUAUGUUUGAGGCAGGCGGAAUGCGUGGUGUAGCGGUGAAAUGCAUAGAUAUCACGCAGAACCCCGAUUGCGAAGGCAGCCUGCCAAGCCAUGACUGACGCUGAUGCACGAAAGCGUGGGGAUCAAACAGGAUUAGAUACCCUGGUAGUCCACGCAGUAAACGAUGAUCACUAGCUGUUUGCGAUACACAGUAAGCGGCACAGCGAAAGCGUUAAGUGAUCCACCUGGGGAGUACGCCGGCAACGGUGAAACUCAAAGGAAUUGACGGGGGCCCGCACAAGCGGAGGAACAUGUGGUUUAAUUCGAUGAUACGCGAGGAACCUUACCCGGGUUUGAACGCAUUCGGACCGAGGUGGAAACACCUUUUCUAGCAAUAGCCGUUUGCGAGGUGCUGCAUGGUUGUCGUCAGCUCGUGCCGUGAGGUGUCGGCUUAAGUGCCAUAACGAGCGCAACCCUUGCCACUAGUUACUAACAGGUGAUGCUGAGGACUCUGGUGGGACUGCCAGCGUAAGCUGCGAGGAAGGCGGGGAUGACGUCAAAUCAGCACGGCCCUUACAUCCGGGGCGACACACGUGUUACAAUGGCGUGGACAAAGGGAGGCCACCUGGCGACAGGGAGCGAAUCCCCAAACCACGUCUCAGUUCGGAUCGGAGUCUGCAACCCGACUCCGUGAAGCUGGAUUCGCUAGUAAUCGCGCAUCAGCCAUGGCGCGGUGAAUACGUUCCCGGGCCUUGUACACACCGCCCGUCAAGCCAUGGGAGCCGGGGGUACCUGAAGUCCGUAACCGCGAGGAUCGGCCUAGGGUAAAACUGGUGACUGGGG